UCUCAUAGAGUACGUCUGAUGGCAAUGAAGCUGUAGCAAGACAAGAAAGCUUUACAAAUGUAAGGCCCCAGGAUAGUCACGUAGUGUAACCAGAGAAACAAUUUGUCUGGUUUAUGGUUUUCAGGUACCACAAAUCCUUGUUUAAACUGGAAGAUAACAGCAACUGUAUUCAUCAUAUUGUUUCUCAUUUCAUGGAUCAUCAUUGGGGCCCAUUGCUAUAUUCAUUUCAAAAAGGAAAGGUAAGAUAUAUGGACAGACAGACAGACAGAUAUAGCAAUAGUGACCUGAUGUGUCAGAGAAACUAGAUACAAUAGAGCUAGAUGGAAAUAUUUUUUUAAUUCCAGGGGUUCUGGAAAAAUCUAUCGAGAAAAGAAUAGUGAAGGAAAUCUUGUUCCCAUGUGCUAGACAGUUCUUGAUAUCCGGUGAUUAAAAAUUUGACCACUAGCAGGCAUUUUAUGUUACAGUAAAUUGAGUGUACUAAUUUUUAAAGCAAAAUGUUUAUUUUUAUAUUAUGAGCUUCUUUUAUUUGUGUGUUUCUGUAUGUUACAUGCAUGUUUGGUGCCAGUGAGGACCUGAAGAGAGUGUGAAAAUUGAGUUGCAGGCAGUUAUGAGACCUCCAUAUGGGUGCUGGGAACUGAACCAGGGUCCUCUAAUGAAGCUACAAGUUGUCUUAACUGGUGAGCCAUCCCUCCAUCACAAGUUUAAGAUUCUUUAUUGAGAAUGAGUUUUCACAGAAGAAAGCACAAGGUCCAGGGAAACGGGUGAGAGAGAGAUCUAGAGCCAGGAAGCCUGGGACAGAUCCAACUGAGCCAUAAGGUGAAAUGGAAAUCUUACUUUGUAGGGUUAAUAUAAUAAAAUACACAUCCAAUGAAAGACCCCCUCCCAGAAAGGGAAGGCCCUCAACUAUAGAAGUAAAAAGUAAGUUUUUAGAUAUGUGGGACAAGCUGACCUAUCAUUUAGACGAAACAGACCAGAAAAGAAAACAAAAUGCAGAAACUAGACUAAAAUAUGGGCAUUGCUCCAUGGGCCACCUGGCAGGGAAAAAGAAACAGUCCCCGACCCCCCGGGAGACCCGACCACCAUGUACUUUUUGCUAACUCAUUGUUAUGAUUAUAGCCAAAAUAGGUGAUGUACACGUAUGUCUCAUUUACUCCACCAAUCACAUCCCUGUAACCAUGCAUCUGCUUCUGUAAGCCUGCUUCUGCUCCCCAAAAUACUAUAAAAAGCCUACCCUGGCUCUGCUAGGCGCGCCAGUCUUCCGAAUUGACUGGGACGCCCACAGAUACCUGUGUAUCCUGAUCAAUAAAAAUCCUCUUGCAGAUUGCAGCCUGUGGACUCGGUCUGGUCAUUGGGCUUGAGGAUCUCCCUCCUGAGGGAAGAUUCUCUCUGAGAGUCUUACAUAUGGGGGCUCGUCCGGGAUCGGAGAUCCUCUGCCCAGAGACCACCGACCACCCACCGGGAGGUAAGCUGGCCAGUGUUUGUCUUGUCCUGUCUUGUCUUGCUUUGUGACUUGUUCUGUAAAUGCUUAGUUACUUGGCUUGGGUCUAGACCGUUUGUAUUUGGGCGGGCCAGAGAAGGAGCUGACGAGCUCGGACUUCUCCCCCGCAGCCCUGGAAGACGUUCCAAGGGUGUUUGGAGCCCGGUUUUUCGGGGCUUAGCCUGUAUCGGAAGGAUACGUGGUUUUGGGUUGGAGGAGAGAGGAGAGAGCCAGAUCCACUGAAGGAUCCGGACCCUCGUCGCCUCUGUCUGAAUUUUUGGUUUCAGUUUGACACCGAAGCCGUGCAGUGCGUCUGUCUGUCUGACUGUUGGAAUUGUUUGUCUUCUUUGUGUCCUAAUUUUCUUUGAACAUCUGUGGAAACUGGUUAUAGGAUGCUUUGUCUUGGUCUUGUUUGUCUGGUUUGUUUUCUGUGGUAUUGUCGAGUGUCUUUUUGGCUUUUGUUUCGUUUUUGAAUUUGGACUGACGACUGUGUUUGAAAUCUUGGACUGACAACUGUGUUUAAAAUCUUGGACUGACGACUGUGUUUGAAAUCAUGAAACUAUUUAUUUGCUUUGUUUGUCAAGGAGUUUUACUUGAUCCUCUUGGUGCUUAACUUGGAAAUAAUUUGCUUGAGAAAAAUUGUUUUCUGCCGGGGAGUUUUAUCUUUCUCUCUUGGGCCUCCUCCCCAGGGAAAGAUGCCCCUCCCUUUGCUCCCCUUGUCCAGUCUAGCUGCUGUUAACAGUUGUGUAUGAAGAACUCCAGGUUAGUGAGUGACCCUGUCUGAAGCAGGUAUUAACAAGAGCCUGAAAGCUUUACCUUAGAUCCUGAAGAAAAAUUCUCCCUGUUGCUUAAACAUUCACAGCUUCUAAGGAAGGGACAACACAGAGUAGGAAAAUGUAGGGGCUGAGGGUGACAAGCAUGCAGGCCUGCUAGCAAGCUGCAGGCUGCGCGUGGGCAGUGGUGCAGCUCUGGCCAAGUCAGCGUAAGAGGAGUUUCAAGGUGAUGAGGCCGGCUGGGGUUGACGCUUUGACAACAAGAAGAUAGCGUAGAGUUAGUGGUUGUUUUAUGAGACUUUUGGCCCUGAAAAUAAUAAUAAUUCCAGUUGCUGCUUUCAGUGCCCAGACCUUCAACACUUGCUCACAGAAGGAGAGUGUUCAUUAAGAGAAGUUCUUUAAGGGAGCCUGCUAUAUCUGCUGGCCCUAUUCCAAGAGAGGAGUUGAUCUCCAACAUUAAGUAACCUUCCCUGUUAGUCAUCAUUGACAUGGAGAGUGCCUUUGAUCCUAUCCCCACAGCAGCCAGUUCCUACCCCUGUGGUCAAAAUGCCCCAGGUUGGGGGACAGAGAAGCCCCUGAGAUAGUUUCGGAGGGAAUCUGCAACAAACUGUGAAGAACUUUGUUUUGCCAGUCAAAAUUUAGAAUUCAGGCUUUGGCUGUGGCCAAGGUCAGGAUUAAUGUUUUCUUUUCCAUGGGCCUUUAGCCCACUGAGACAGUUUGGUAAAGGGCUGCUACUGAGGUCCUGAAAGUCCCAGGUGAACUGGUUACAAUUCUUUUGUCAGCCACUUGGCAUCUAGCACCCAGGUCCUAACCAUCUCUCCAUCCUUUUGUUAUUAGUUCUUAAGUCCAGAGAGAUAGUCGGUAACAGAUCAGCUCCCUCUCUGCUUGCCGUUCUGUUUCACAGACACAAAGCUUGUGCUUAUUUUUACAAUGGCCUUUUUGUCCCAAAAGUCCUCCUGGUUUAGCUGUGUGACUAAAUGCUUUUUGUCCUCUUCAGUGAACCUCUAUUCUCUAGAUUCUCUUCUUGUUUUCUCACAUCCCAUUUGAGAUGCUUGUUAGUAACUAUUACAGGUCUUCUUUACUACCGAGGAAAGACGGAAUCCUACUGGAGGCCAGAAAGAAUGUUCCAGACAUGGAUAGAAGACCCUCACUCCUGACUGUUGACUUGAAUGCGCCUAAAGGACUUGAAUGCGCCUAAAGGUAGGGAGUGCUCCAGGUCUGCCGCCAGACUCCAAGGGUGGGUCUCUGAGGGGCUGAAAACUGCCCCACCAAUCUGGCUAAGAUAAGGAAAAGAUAUAAAGAGAGAAAGUUACAGAAAUUUAAAGGGUUAAGCUAAGUUGCUGAGAGUUAGUGUAAGUUGCAGAGAAAGUAAAGUUGAAGUGUAGUUACAUAAGUGGACAGCAUCUAAUAGCUGUAGAGGAAGAUGCAGAAGAUAUGAGAGAGAGACUGAGGAAGAGAAGAGAGAGAAAGAGGAAAGAAGGUAAAAAGAGCAGGAAGCUAAGAAAGAAAAGAGACAAAAGGAAGAAGAAGCUAGAAAGCUAAAAGAGGGAUAAAAGACAGGAGAGGAAUAUAUACUGGCCACAGUAGUUAGGGAACCUAGGAAGACAGUACCUGGCACAGAAGAGAAUUCCUAGCUAAAGAUCAGUGUGCCUAUCGCAAAGAAAAAGGACAUUGGGUGAGGGACUGCCCCAGGAAGAACAAGAGAGGCCUCUCCAGCAGCCCGGAAGGCAAGCCUCUUGGUCCUAGAGUGCUGGCUAUGCGCUAAGAUAGAAGGGAAGCCUGCCCAGUUGUUUUGUGAAUACGGGGGCCCAACACUCUGUGCUCCUACGCCCAAAUGGGCUAGUGUCCAGCAAAAGACCUUGAGUGCAAGGGGCUACCGGCAACAAAUGAUACUCAUGGACUACCCGAAGAACGGUGGACCUUGGCGUGGGCCGGGUAUCCCACUUGUUCCUUGUGAUUCCAGACUGCCCCUACGAGUCUAAACCCUGCAACCCUGCUCCCGGACCCCGACCUAGACACCCCCCUUCAUGACUGUCACCAGGUGCUCACUAAAGCACAGGAGUGGCAUAAAGAUCGGACUGAUCAGCCAACAGAGGGGGUAGAUGCCAUCUGGUUCAUAGAUGGGAGCAGCUUCUUAGAGAAGAAAAAAGAUGGGCUGGGGCAGCAGUGGUAGAUAGAAACAGAAUCAUAUGGGCUCAGGCCCUACCAGAAGACACUUCUACUCAGAGGGUAGAGCUCGCUCCCCUCACCAAAGCCCUUGGACUGAGAAAGGGACUUAACAUCUAUGUGGACAGCACGUAUGCCUUUGCUACAGCCCAUCAGCAGAGGGACCUGCUGACAUCUGAGGGCAAGAAAGAAAAAAAAGAGAUUCUGGCUCUGUUAAGGGCCCUCCAUGACCCAGCCAGGCCGAGGAAGAGACUCUGGUACACCUCAACGAGAAAGAAGAUCCUGCUACAAUUUUUACAGGCAGAGGCCAUGGUAAAACAAAUGCAUCAAUAGACUCACUUAGGGGUAAGCAAACUCAUCCAGACGUUUUCAAAAACUAAAUAUUAUGUUACAGGUCUCAAGUAUCUCAUGGAACAGAUAGUGCACUGAUGUAUACCAUGCCAAAAGGUAACUGUUUUCAGGAAAGUUGACUCCGUGGGGAACGGCCUGGAUACUACUGAGAAGUGGACUUCACAGAGAUAAAACCAGGAAAAUAUGAUUUCAAAUGUCUCCUAGUGUUUAUAGAUAUCUUUUCAGGAAUAGAUAGAAGCUUUCCCCACCAAGCAAGAGACGGCCUCAAUAGUCAUCAAGAAGAUACUAGAAGAAAUCUUCCCCCGAUUUGGAGUGCCCAAGGUAAUCUGGUCAGACAACGGCCCUACUUUCGUUGCCAAGGUAAGCCAGGGUGUGGCCAAGUAUUUAGAGGUUGAUUGAAAAUUACGUUAUAUUUACAGACCUCAAAGUUCAGGACAGGUAGAAUAAAUAAAUAAGACUCUAAAAGAGACCCUGACCAAAUUGACCAUGGAGACUGGCGUAGACUGGGUGACACUCCUUCCCUCUUGCUCUCUUCAGAGCAAGAAAUACCCCUUCCAGAUUCAGCUUUACCCCCUUUGAGAUCUUAUAUGGGGCCUCAGCUCCCCUGACUGUAUUAGAUGAUGUUACUGAACCAACAUGUCAUAGUAAUAAUGAUUUAUAUGCCAGGCUAAAAGACCUACAGGUGAUACAGAAAGAAAUCUGCUCACAGCUGACAGCAGCCUAUGCCCCGGAGACCCCUGAGACAUGUCAUCAGUUCCAGGUUAGAGACUGCAGCUACACUGAGCCCAGACACUCGAGCCUCGCUGGAAAGGACCGUACCUGGUGCUGCUGACCACCCUGACAGCCAUCAAGUCUCAGCCCUCACCAGCAGCAUACUAGCUGUUAGGGCUGAGAGCUGGGACCUAGAGGGACACUCAGAUCUUCAAAAAGCUCCCUAGACUUAAGUGACUGGGAGGUUGCUAUAAUGCUCACUUGAGGAGUGUGUUUUAGAAACAAGAAUUUCAAAAUAGCCUGUUUGCCCUGGGUUCCCUCGGAAUAGGUGUAAGGAUAGGCUUGAUUUUUAUUACAAAUGAUGUAACAUUGCAUAUGUUAGUACUCCUAACACUUCUUGGGACUGUGCCUCAGGGACCAUGAGUUUAAAAGUUCUAAGAUAGUCAUGACCUUGGUAUAUAGGUUUAAAUAGUGUUCAGAUUGGAAUCCUAAAGCCUUUUUAGCUGACCUCCAAGAACACCUAACCUCCCUCUCAGAGGUAGUCCUUCAAAAUAGAAAAAAAAUUAGACCUGAUAUUCCUUAAAGAAAGAGUCUGUGUGCUACACUAAAAGAAGAAUGUUUCUAUACAGAUCAGACAGGAAUAAUAAGAGAUAUAGUCUUUCAGUCAUUCAAACUUUUGUGCUGAGACAACAGUAUCAGAUGGUAAAAAAAAAUAAAAAAAAAAAAACAAAAAACCAGAGGUACCUUAACCAAGUUGAGUGGAAGAUUCCACUCAAGGACAAAAAGAAAAUGGGGGAAUGAAAGACCCCCUCCCAGAAAGGGAAGGCCCUCAACUAUAGAAGUAAAAAGUAAGUUUUUAGAUAUGUGGGACAAGCUGACCUAUCAUUUAGACGAAACAGACCAGAAAAGAAAACAAAAUGCAGAAACUAGACUAAAAUAUGGGCAUUGCUCCAUGGGCCACCUGGCAGGGAAAAAGAAACAGUCCCCGACCCCCCGGGAGACCCGACCACCAUGUACUUUUUGCUAACUCAUUGUUAUGAUUAUAGCCAAAAUAGGUGAUGUACACGUAUGUCUCAUUUACUCCACCAAUCACAUCCCUGUAACCAUGCAUCUGCUUCUGUAAGCCUGCUUCUGCUCCCCAAAAUACUAUAAAAAGCCUACCCUGGCUCUGCUAGGCGCGCCAGUCUUCCGAAUUGACUGGGACGCCCACAGAUACCUGUGUAUCCUGAUCAAUAAAAAUCCUCUUGCAGAUUGCAGCCUGUGGACUCGGUCUGGUCAUUGGGCUUGAGGAUCUCCCUCCUGAGGGAAGAUUCUCUCUGAGAGUCUUACACCAUUUAUCCAGCUCCCUGGUGGAUGGCAAUGCACGAUGGAAGAUAAGUGUAAAUACGAUACUAGGCAGUGACAGGAAAAACUGUAGACCUAAUUGGUGGCGUGUGAUUUGUUUUUCUGUCAUUAUAUAUUCUUUAAAUUUAAAAACCUUUGGUGUAUUUGUUCUACCACAUUGCAAUCCAAGGAAAUGUAUAAACCAAAGAAGCUUGAGAAUCUUCUCUAUAAUCUAGAAAGCUCUGUCACUGGAGUGCGGAAGACAUACCUUAUAAGAGAAGAAUGUAGAGACUGCUACACUAGUCAGGAUGACAUAUGUCUGGAAUCAAGAGGUUGAAAAGAGGAGGAGGGAUUAAAGCUAUAUGUAGGAUGGGAUUUCCUGAAUGACAGCUGCGGAGAGAGAGUGACUUAUCUUACUUAUCUUACUCAAGUGAUUUAACACUAAGGAAAACUUGCAUAAACAUGUGAAAGAAUAGAAAAAUGGCAAUCUUUGCAGGGAGGAUUAAGAAUUCUGUUUGGAACAUUGUCACUUUUAAAUGUCUGCUUUAUACCCAGGAGCUAUGUUAAUUAAGUAUCCACAUGUAAAACUUGGGAUUUUUUGGAGCAAAUGAUAAAUAAGUUUGCUAAUAUGGAAGUUAUGAUCACUGUGAAGAGAGAUCAUAAAUUACUGUUUUCACAAUUUAAGGUAAAAAUAAUAGUCAAGUUAUAGUAAUUGGGACAAAGUAGAGGAAGAACAACCUUUGCAGAGAGGAUUAAGAGUUUGAACGCUGUAAUUUUUAAAUGCCUACUUUAUAUCCUAGGGAGUAUGUUAAUUAAAUAUCUACAUGUGUGAAUCGAGGGUUGUGGAGCAGAGGAUAAGUUUUAUGAUAUAAGGCUCUGACCUCUAUGGAGACACACCAUAAACUAUUGCUCUCAUUAUGUUAAAUUAAAAACAUUUCGCAAGUUCUAAUAUAUUGGUCAAGUGUUUGAUAGGAGAGUAUAUGAAUGUCUUUAAUUUUAAUUGAUAACCAGUGAUUGCAAUGUGCUGCCAAUGUAUUUGGUCAGUAUUCAGUUUAUUUCUGUAAUUCUCAUGGUAUCUCUAGGUCAGAGAACUUGCCUGAACCAUCACCACUGCAGAUGUCUAACACAAUACCAACUCUGAUACCCACACCACCAACAAAAGAAACCGAGAACUUGAUAAGCCAACACCACCAGACAGAUCUAAUUGGAAAUCUGUGUGUUGUACAGUCAUCAUCAGAAGAGCAACCUCCCGCUGGAUGGGAACAACUAUAGAGACUCACAGAUAUUAAACAGAGAGUGGGAAACCUUGGAACACUCAGUGCUGAAUUGAAUGUCUCCAUCAAACUCAUUCCUUCCUCACAGCUCAGGAAACCCUGCAGAAGAGGAGGUGAAAAGAGCCUAAGAGGCAGAGCAGACAGAGGAGGACACCACAAAAACAAGACCUUCUAUUUUUUUUUUUCUUUCCGUUUUUGAGACAGGGUUUCUCUGUGUAACCUUGGCUAUCCUGGAACUCUUUGGAGACCAGGCUGGGCUUAAACUCACAAAGAUAAGCCUGUCUCUGCCUCUUGAGUGCUGAGAUAUGAUGGGUGCGUGAUACCACCGCCUGCCAAGGCCUUCUGAAUUAGCAUGAACAAAGCUCAAAUGAACUCAGAGACUGAAGGAGCAUGCUCAGCGAUUAUACAUAGUAUCUGCCCCAGAUCCUUUGCAGACAUAUUAUGGUUCCUAGUUUAGUGUUUCCAUGAGAUUCCAUUAGUGCAAACAAAUGAGUUUAUGAUUUGUGUGCCUUCUCUUGACCUCACUUUCUUCUGUUACUUGUCCAACUUCAAAGUGAUAGUAUUUGUUUUAUUUUAUUAUAUUUUGAGAAAAGUGAAUUAGUGAGUAAAUGAAAGACUAGCUAUUAAGGGAAAAGGGAAUGCUAAGCUGCCAUUUACACCUUCUGGCAAAGGGAAGAGCAGUUUUUCCAAUAGAGUAACCCUGGGUAUAUCAACCAUUCUCUAGAAGCCUCAUGUUCAGGAACUGACCAACCAAUAAUGGACUCCAUACUUUUGUUUGUUUUUUGUUGAUAGUUAUUCUGCAUGCUUUAAUUAGGUUACAGUUUGUGGGGGUUUUUGUUUUGUUUUGUUUUGUUUGUAGGGAUGUGCUUGGGGUGUUGUUUUUUGUUUUCUUGGAUUUUGUUUUGCAUUGGCUUUUUGUUUAUUUUUUGAAAAAGAACUUAAAGUCGGUUGGGUAGGAGGGGGUUGAGAACCUGAAUGGACUUCAGAGAGUGGAAAAAUAGAAUCAAAAUAUGUUUUAAUUUAAAAUUGUUUUUAAACAAUAAAAAUAAUAGAAAAUUAUUACAAAAUCUGAGAAAAUAAUUUAGGUUUGGGCUACAUAUUUUAUUCUACAAUUGUUCAAAUUGUGUACUUGCCCUUCAUAUAAGACCCCUUCAACUUAAAAUGUCCUUAAAAUAAUACACUAAGAUGAAAACUUUCAUAAAAGACAACACUGAAUUCAGAUUACUCAAUAAUUUUAAAACAUUAAUUUUUUCAUGCUGGAAUGAUGGUCCAGCAGUUAAGAGCAUUUUGUAUUCUUCUAGAAGACUCAGGUUUGAUUCCCAGCACCCACAGGCAGUCUCAGUUACCGUGUGUAAUUCCCAGGAGAUCCAAUGCCUUCUUUUGGACUAUACAUGUGCCAAGGAUUUAUAUGUUAUACCUCUUUUGAAGGUUUUAGAAUUUUCUUCUGUUAAUUUAAUCUCACUUUUACUUGGGUCUAUAACAUGCCUUUCCUCGAAUACUUGUUUGGCAUUCCAGAAAUCUUCUAGUCUUCUUAAUAUGUAUAUUUAGUGUUUUAUCUACUAACAAUAUUCAUUUUUUACGAUGCCACGCUCAAUUUUUCUUGUUAUAGAACUUCUAAGGUACAGAUUUUACAAUAAAGAAUUUCUAUUAUAUGACC